rnacentral:rRNA from 1 species
AGGGCACCACCAGGAGUGGAGCCUGCGGCUUAAUUUGACUCAACACGGGGAAACUUACCCGGCCUGGACACUGGAAGGAUUGACAGAUUGAGAGCUCUUUCUUGAUUCAGUGGGUGGUGGUGCAUGGCCGUUCUUAGUUGGUGGAGCGAUUUGACUGGUUAAUUCCGAUAACGAACGAGACUCUAGCCUAUUAAAUAGGCUCUCGGCUUUUAAACGCCGGGAGGACUUCUUAGAGGGACAGGUGGCGGUUCAGCCGCACGAAAGAGAGCAAUAACAGGUCUGUGAUGCCCUUUGUUGUCCGGGGCCGCACGCGCGCUACACUGAAGAGAUCAGCGUGCUUUACGUUCCUGCUCCGACCGGAGUGGGGAACCCAGUGAACCUUCUUCGUGAUUGGGAUAGAAGAUUGUAAUUAUUCUUCUUGAACGAGGAAUUCCCAGUAAAUGCGAGUCAUAAGCUCGCGUUGAUUACGUCCCUGCCCUUUGUACACACCGCCCGUCGCUACUACCGAUUGAACGAUUU